GACGUAGGGGGCGAGCGUUGUCCGGAAUCACUGGGCGUAAAGAGCUCGUAGGCGGGUCGGUGCGUCGCGGAGUAAAUCCAUCUGCUUAACGGGUGGUUCAUCUGCGAUACGGCCGACCUUGAGGACAGGAGAGGAAAGCGGAAUUCCGAGUGUAGCGGUGAAAUGCGUAGAUAUUCGGAGGAACACCAGUGGCGAAGGCGGCUUUCUGGCCUGAUUCUGACGCUGAGGAGCGAAAGCCAGGGGAGCAAACGGG
rnacentral:rRNA from 1 species